UUCUCGAAUUUAAAAGAGUUAAUUAAUUAAAAAAUUUAUUGUAGCAAAAAUAUUUUUCAUAAUUAAUUAGAAAUGAAAUGUUAAUCGUUUUUAAAUAUAUCUAGUUUUUUUAGAAAAAAAUUUAAUUUUAAAUUAAAUUAAUUAAAAAAUUAAUUAAAAAAUUUUUUAAAAUUUAAAUUUAAUAUUUUAAGGGAUAAGCUUUAAUUUAAAAUAUUUAUAAUUAAAUAUUAAAUUUUUUGAAAAUUUUAAAAUUUAUAUUGUUUAAAAAUUAUAAUUUUUUAUAAAUAAUUUUAUAAAAAAUAAAAUUUAAUUUUAAUUUAAUUUUUUAUAAAAAAAUAAAAUUUAAAAAAAUAAUUUUAGUUAUAAUGAUAAAAUUAGUAUAUAAAUUUUAUUUAAUUAAUAUUAUAAAAUAUUUUUAAAUGAAAAAUUAAUUAUAAGGAAUUCGGCAAAAAUUUAUAUUCACUUGUUUAUCAAAAACAUGUCUUUUUGAAAUAAUUUAAAGUCUAAUCUGCCCACUGAUGAAAAUUGAAGGGCUGCAGUAUUUUGACUGUACAAAGGUAGCAUAAUCAUUAGUCUCUUAAUUGGUGACUUGUAUGAAAGAUUGGAUGAGAUAUAAGCUGUCUUAUUUUUAUUUAUAGAAUUUAAUUUUUU
rnacentral:rRNA from 1 species